rnacentral:snRNA from 1 species
UUGCUUCGGCAGCACAAAUACUAAAAUUGGAACGAUACAGAGAAGAUUAGCUUGGCCCCUGCGCAAGGAUGACAUGCAAAUUCAUGAAGCGUUCCAUAAGGGG